GGAGAGGUACCGAAGUGGUCAUAACGGAAUCGCCUCGAAAGCGAUAGUCGCUUUAAGCGACCGUGGGUUCGAAUCCCACCCUCUCCGCCA
rnacentral:tRNA from 1 species